GUAAUGGUGUAGAGAGGGAGAGAGAAAGGGAGACACCAGCAACAUUGCUUCACCACUCCAAAAGCUUCUGCACUUGGCACCUCACCCUCCAACCACCUUCCCAGAAGGGCCCCCUGGCACCCCUCACCCACCAACUGCCAUUGGGGCUGAGGGUUCUAACUGCCUUGGUGUGUGGAGCAGGGUGCUGCUGGGAGUUCCAGCACUGCCUGGAGAAGCGAGAGGAAGGAGAGGAGGGUUGGUGUUUCAGGACAAAGUGAAUAUUGGGCCUUAGGAGCCAGACAGAGUUUUAGAUGUCAUGGCAUCCUGUAAAGGUAAAGAAGAGGAAGAUUCACCCUGGGAUUCUCCUUGGGACUCUAAGGAGGAUGUUUGUGAGAACUUCUCACAGAAGGCUGUGAAUCAUUUAUCUGGAAAUGCAGAUAGAGGCAUAAAGAAAAUUAUAAGUGGAGCAGUGAAAGGUAAACAUUAUUACAUUAUUGUUCCAACAAUUUACUUAUUGGUUAUUUGUUAUGUUACCAGGUUGUAUGGUGACAGAGUAUAAUUCUACACCACAGGCACCACCAAUGUUCCCUAUAUCCACCCUCCCAGGAGGGUGAAUUUAACUUUUCAAAAGAGUGAUUUGAGUGAUUUCUUAAUUUCUAAAGAACCUGCGGUUUAUUUUCCUAGUCAGAUAAAAUAACCUAACUACUACAGUGUGAGAAAAAACAAAACUGUGUAUGUAUUUCCU